rnacentral:misc_RNA from 1 species
GAUGAAGAACGUAGCGAAAUGCGAUACGUAAUGUGAAUUGCAGAAUUCAGUGAAUCAUCGAAUCUUUGAACGCACAUUGCGCCCGCCAGUAUUCUGGCGGGCAUGCCUGUCUGAGCGUCAUUUCAACCCUCAUGCCCCUAGGGCGUGGUGUUGGGGAUCGGCCAAAGCCCGCGAGGGACGGCCGGCCCCUAAAUCUAGUGGCGGACCCGUCGUGGCCUCCUCUGCGAAGUAGUGAUAUUCCGCAUCGGAGAGCGAUGAGCCCCUGCCGUUAAACCCCCAACUUUCCAAGGUUGACCUCAGAUCAGGUAGGAAUACCCGCUGAACUUAAGCAUAUCAAUAAGCGGA